rnacentral:rRNA from 1 species
UGGGGAAUAUUGCACAAUGGGCGAAAGCCUGAUGCAGCGACGCCGCGUGAGGGAUGACGGCCUUCGGGUUGUAAACCUCUUUCAGCAGGGACCAAGCGCGAGUGAGUGUACCUGCAGAAGAAGCACCGGCUAACUACGUGCCAG